UCUUCCCUCUUUCUUCGUGCCUAAUACAUGCAAGUCGAGCGAACGGACGAGAAGCUUGCUUCUCUGAUGUUAGCGGCGGACGGGUGAGUAACACGUGGAUAACCUACCUAUAAGACUGGGAUAACUUCGGGAAACCGGAGCUAAUACCGGAUGAUAUUUUGAACCGCAUGGUUCAAAAGUGAAAGACGGUCUUGCUGUCACUUAUAGAUGGAUCCGCGCUGCAUUAGCUAGUUGGUAAGGUAACGGCUUACCAAGGCAACGAUGCAUAGCCGACCUGAGAGGGUGAUCGGCCACACUGGAACUGAGACACGGUCCAGACUCCUACGGGAGGCAGCAGUAGGGAAUCUUCCGCAAUGGGCGAAAGCCUGACGGAGCAACGCCGCGUGAGGGAUGAAGGUCUUCGGAUCGUAAAACUCUGUUAUUAGGGAAGAACAUAUGUGUAAGUAACUGUGCACAUCUUGACGGUACCUAAUCAGAAAGCCACGGCUAACUACGUG
rnacentral:rRNA from 1 species